UUAAUACAACGAAGAGUUUGAUCCUGGCUCAGGAUGAACGCUAGCGGCAGGCCUAACACAUGCAAGUCGAGGGGUAACAGGUGUAGCAAUACAUGCUGACGACCGGCGCACGGGUGAGUAACGCGUAUGCAACCUACCUUUAACAGGAGGAUAGCCCCGAGAAAUCGGGAUUAAUACUCCAUAAUAUUAUUGAACCGCAUGGUUUAAUAAUUAAAGUUUCGGCGGUUAAAGAUGGGCAUGCGUGACAUUAGUUAGUUGGUGAGGUAACGGCUCACCAAGACAGCGAUGUCUAGGGGUUCUGAGAGGAUUAUCCCCCACACUGGUACUGAGACACGGACCAGACUCCUACGGGAGGCAGCAGUGAGGAAUAUUGGUCAAUGGUCGAAAGACUGAACCAGCCAUGCCGCGUGCAGGAUGAAUGCGCUAUGCGUUGUAAACUGCUUUUCUACAGGAAGAAACCUACCCUCGUGAGGGUAGCUGCCGGUACUGUAGGAAUAAGCAUCGGCUAACUCCGUGCCAGCAGCCGCGGUAAUACGGAGGAUGCGAGCGUUAUCCGGAUUUAUUGGGUUUAAAGGGUGCGUAGGCGG
rnacentral:rRNA from 1 species